AGAAAAUGGUAGAAUGGAAUUACGGGAGAUUUUGAUUUUCCAGUUAUAGGUUCAAUUCCUAUUUUUCUAA
rnacentral:tRNA from 1 species